rnacentral:tRNA from 1 species
CCCUCUGUAGUGUAUAGGCUACCACGGAAGACUGUCGAUCUUCAGAAUCGGGUUCGAGUCCCGGCAGGGGGGCCA